rnacentral:rRNA from 1 species
UACGGGGGGGGCAAGCGUUGUUCGGAAUUACUGGGCGUAAAGGGUGCGUAGGCGGUGCUCUAAGUCGGAUGUGAAAACUCUGGGCUCAACCCAGAGCCUGCAUCCGAAACUGGAGUGCUAGAGUUCUGGAGGGGGUAGCGGAAUUCCUGGUGUAGCGGUGAAAUGCGUAGAUACCAGGAGGAACACCGGUGGCGAAGGCGGCUACCUGGACAGAAACUGACGCUGAGGCACGAAAGCUAGGGGAGCAAACAGG